rnacentral:misc_RNA from 1 species
UUGCUAUAAUCUAUUGAUGUCUAUAUAAUUUAUUUAGAGAGAAAACACGCCUAAGUUUUAGAUAUAAUGGUUGUUACAAUAAUGUACAUAGAAGGCAAAAUUAACCUCUUCAUAUUUCAUUACGCAUAUGGUAAUAUCAUCUACAUAAGCUUGCAAUAUAAAAACCUCUUCUUCUUUAAGAGUAAGAAAAAGAUGGUUUCACUCAUAAAAAGCCAUAGAACUCUCCUUUUGUUUUAUCAUGGUGAAUUACUGGGAGACACACUUAUGCAAGCUUCUCUACCAAUGCACCAUACUCUGCUUCUGCUUGGUGUUGCAUUUACGGAGCUUGCUUUGGCUUCACUGUAAGAGAAUCCUAUAUCAGAAUUAUAACUAGCAUUAGAUUCACGGUACUUUCCAUCCACCUUAUUCAUCUGAUCAACCAACAAGCGUCGCGAGUGAAGAGCAUGAACUGGAGUUUCUGGAAUUCCUGAUACAUUUAUUCCAGGGAAGUAACUGAUUGUUGCAUGAGAAUUGGGAUUGCUUGAAGCAUCUUCCUGCAAAAUGUCCCCUAUCCUACACAAAAUGCUGAAAGCCAAAUUCCCAAGAACCCGGGAGUACGCCUCCAGAAUUGAAUGGCCAACAUCCUAUGGAAAUUAACAAUCACAGUUAUUCCAAAUAUUCAGCUAAAAGUGCACUAUGUUACUGUAACAGUGAAAUAAAUUGUAGCGGAACUAACAAAAUCAAAUACCAUUUAUUCUUAAGAAAAGUUCUUCCUUCAAUACAAGCACUGUAGCUAAUGUGAAGAUUUGAAUUUUAGUUUGGAAGACCAUUGUGGGGGUACUUCUUUUUAUAUUUCCCAGUCUAGAAAAGAGUGAAAAGACUCUAAUUGUGAUUAAAACAAGAAACUUCCCAGAUCAACUAUUUGUGAAGAGGGAUGGAACAUAAGAAAUAAACAAAAUUGGAGUUGUGUUGAUUAAUGCACAAGUUUCUUGAGCUAUGUGUAGUACACUGUUUUUAUGUAUAAAGUGAUUCAACUCCUAGUCACUGAGAUUGAUCGCAUGUUCAGUAAUGAUGAUUGAUUUACUUAUGAGUACGAUCUAAAUUGUUACUUGCAUUUGUGUUAUUGUUAUUGACAUCUAACAGUGGUACGAGAAUUUGCAGGCUGAUUUCCAUGAAUUUUAAGAUUUUACCAUGAUGUGUAUGCUCACCUUGCUCAUUGUUUUUGCAUGCUCACAUAAUUUAUUGCUAUGAAUUAAUCAAAUGGAACAAUAAUAAUAUGAAAAAAAAAUCCUGAAGCUUAUAAUAAAUGCCUAUUUAUCAAACUCACCCUGCCAUAUUGGAUUUUUGUAGCUUCAAGAAAUGUUUGAGGAAGAUUUGGAUAUCUGGCCUUGACUUGCUGCAGAAGGAUUUCUGCUCUGUCCAACAGUGACUCUGUCUUGUCAAAUUCUGAAAUAGGGUCCUUAACAAAGGACCAAGAUGUUCGAACAGGGGAUUUACUACUAACUUGUGCUGUAAUCUUCUCCUUCCAUGCAAACAUGGCAGCUUCCAAUUUGUUAAUGGCCUCAAGUGCACUGUGUUCAGAUUUUAAAUUAAGAGAGCUAAGCAUUUCCUCAGCUGUUUUUGAAUCUGCAGUCAGGAUCUUAUACAGUUCCUCGCCAAGGUUUGUUUUUCCAGACUGUAAACAUGGAUUAAAUUGGUUAUGCCAAACUCUUUGUUGGAAAGCUAUUAUUUUAAAAGGUUGCUAGUUACUGCUUAUGUUUCAGUGGUGAGAACAAGCUUACUUUAGGUAGUGCAUCCCUGAUAAUGGUUGGUACGGGCAUUUCAAGCAAUACAUUUUCGUUGAUAGAUUUGGCAGCCUUGAAGACUUGAUAGACCACUUUACUCUGAUAGAGCAGUUUUUUCCUUUCUGAGUCAGAAAACCCAGUUGUGGGUACCUGUGGCAAUGGGAGCCACCACCUCUUGCUCUGCUUUGUGCUUUUGGUCCUACCUUCUGCCCGGCUGCCUACUUCUGUGUACCAAAACUCAGUAUUCACCAUUGAAUCCAGUGUCUCAAUAAGCAUGGAGUCCAACUUCUGAAGUGCUGGAAGAUUCAUAUGGAUGUCUGCGCGAGCUUUUGGAGUCAUUAUCUCCAAGGCCUUGCCAUUGGCGCCGUUUUGCUUUGUAGGAACUAACUCAACCAUAUAGUUUGUAGGAGAGAGCAACCAAUCCAUUUCUUUUCGCCAUUUGUUCUUGUUUUCUUCAGGCAAUGGCUCUAGUUUCCACAGUUCCCCAAAAACUGAAGCUGCAAGAUUUGUUAUGGCAUUGGAUAAUGCUAAUGCUGUAGUGAGGCCCUUACAACCUCCUGUUAUAUCUUCACCCAAUAACAGCUUUGCAAAUUUUUCCUUCAUUGUCUCCACAUCCGAAAAUUGGGUAGUAUAAACUGGUUUUGCCUUGACAUAAAAAUGUUGGGGGCUUUCUGAGAGCUCCCAAUCAUCCAAACUGUGCUCAUCCCUCUUCAUUGUCAAACAUUUAGAAGAAAAUGAUCCAAAAGCAUCUUUGGUAGAAGAACAGCUCAAGUCAUCAUCUUCGAAGGAGUCACUCAUACACCCAUCUCCUUGGCUUGUGCCACUUUCAUUUUCAUAAGAUUGGUUGUUUUGAAUGCAACUCUCAAGGCCAUUGUAUGUCACAAUCCUCUCUUGUUCAUCGAAGUCGAGGCUAAUUUCUCUAUCCCAGGUGCAGCAAGCCAGCCUUCUUCUCAUCAUCAUCAUCAUAUUUUUCUUGAUAUAAUCUUUUUCUUUAAAAUAUAUAUGUUUUCCUUCUUGUUUUUGUCUAUGGAUGGAUAUGCAUAAAAUUACUCAAUCAGAUGAUUGAAUAUUCAUCAUUUCAAAAGCUGCGAACCACACCCUGUUUGAGGUGAAGAGUGAAGAUCGUUGAAAGAACCAUAUGUCUACACCAAAUCUAAGGAGUAAGCAACAACAUCAUACCAGCAGCAAGUGUAUUUGGCGAUUUCAGUCUCUGUCUCUUCUUCUUCUUCUUCGUUCUCUGAUCUGGCUUCAUCCUUUCUUCCCCCUUUCUUCUAUUUUCUUCGCCCUCUCCUCUGUUUUUUGUUUGGGUUGUGGCUCUGCCACAAC